AAUUUCAGGGCCGUUGUCGCCUCCGGGCGGUCCGCGGGUCCCGAGCGGACUGGGACUCUGGAGACGUGCCCCCAACCCCACCGCCAUUCACCCUGUCAUUGCAGGGGAGAGAACAGAAUAAAGACGGGUACAUUUUCCAUCUCACCUCUGAACCUCGGUUAGGAAAACGCUGUAGCCCUGACUAGUGGGCUCAAGGGCCGACUGGAAAAGGGCGAGUCAGCGUUCAAAGCCGAUUCGGGGCAGCCCUCUCUAACGCAGAGGGCCGAGGAUAAGAAGACGACAAUGUGUUAGGGGCCCUCCGGGCUAGGACUGUCCUCACCACUUUGUACAUUGCCAAAGUAAAUAUAACGUAGAGGUCAAGCGCAGGCGCUUUGUGGGCAGACAUGA
rnacentral:lncRNA from 1 species